UUAAUACAGCCCUGAAAUCCUUAGAAUUUUUCCAUUCUUAAAGAUUUCAGCGCCAAAAAGAAUACAUACACAUAUGAACACACAUUAAUAUGAUAGAAAUAUUUUUUCAGCGCCAAAAAGAAUACAUACACAUAUGAACACACAUUAAUAUGAUAGAAAGAUUUUUCUCCCUACAUUUGUCAUCAUUAGUAAAACAUAAAACCUUUCAAAGUAUGUUUAGAACUCGAAAGGUUUUUCAAAAAUUUACCCCAGUAAUAAAAUUUUGCUAAUUUAGAAAGGUGUCCACCAAUGAAAAGGGUUAAUAUAUUUUAUGCAAUUGUACUUAUUUAAAUUUUUAACUCUAGACCAUUGUAAUCUGUAAAGUUUGCUUUCUUUUAUCAAUUUAAAGUGGAAUUGCAAGAUAUGAUUAACAAAAUGCAGUUUACGUGUAUAAAAUUUUAAAAAAUAAAGGUCUUGAUUAAUUAGAAAAACACAUUUACUUUCAAAAAGACCUCACCGCACGAGUAAAAAUAAUAAAAAAAUAGAGUAACCGUAAAAAUACAAAAGUAAAUAAGGAUACUUAUCAUCAAGUCAUCAUAAGGCUUCAGCAAUUUCUUGGUGGUCCGCAAAUCAAACUGAAAUAAACUUUUCCUAUCUUAGCAUGCCAAGAUUAUCCCGGCUUUUGUCCGAAUCGGGAUAUCUACUUUCAUCACACUUGCAUGAAACGACCAUCCAUUUUCCAAUCACAAUCGAAACACCAAUUUGAAUUUUCAUGCUUGAAAUUGGUUGUGGCAGUUCGUUGUGCAAAUAUACUCUUUUGCUCGUUAUUCAAUCAACUCACUAAAUCACUAAAUAUGACAAACUACAGCCACAGCACACAAUUUUCGAAGUAAAAUAACUUCCCUCCCUGAUGCCACGAACUCCCUUUUAAUUCUCAUACAAACGAUAGAAACCACCUGCUCACGGCAAAUUUCGGUACACUCAUAAACCAGUUUGAAACUUAUCCACAAGCCUAUCCACAAGCCGAUUGAAAACACCUCCGCCGAUUAGUGUUUCUAUCCGCACCCGGCAACUCGUUUAGACUUAUCACAAAAUUAUAUUCAAAACAAUCAAAUAAAUAACAAUUUUCACGGAACACGGAAAGAACUCGAAUCUGUUCUGCUUCUUUUGAAAACUGAUAUUCUCUUUCCGGCGAAAGCUUGUGAGCAUAUAAACAUUAAAUUCACUUAACACCUUUUUAAAUAUAUGAAUUCAAAUGUUUCGGAAGUUAAACCGCAGAAAAAUUAAUAAUUUCGAAAAAUUUUCGCGCACGUGACAGAAAAAAAACGCGUGCUCUCCAAACCAGUCGUAGCCUACUUCUCUUAAAUGCCUUACAUUUUAGCAGUGUUACUAAACCUGUUAGUCGGCCUGAGUAGAUAGUAGGCCUUGGUUGCAUUUUUUACAAACGUUGGUACCUUGUAUUUAUGUAGUUGCAUAUUCAUCAUACGAAGGAGGCGGCGUCAAAUUAUAAAUUCAAAUUUCGUAACGUUGUAAAUUUGGUUUUGCUUCUAUAUAAACAAGCCCAAUGACGAACAAGCAUACUAACAGAUUUUUUUCAAAUUUAAUUUAGAAAUGUUGAAAAGAGCGAAAGAGCAUUUUUGAUGGGAAAACUUAUUAACGUAUACCAUACUUUACCCCGUAACAUCUCAUUAUUUAGGAGAAGUAGGAACGGGAUAUAGGUGGCACUACCUAAACCUAUACAAUGAGAUAUAGUUAAUCCAAAGCUGACAUGUGGUGAAAAUGUAUAUCCCGGAUGUUUAAAUAUCUUAAUAAAAAUCUUUUGUUAUUGUGCGGUUUUCAUAUAUCUACAGAUUUGUGGAAAUAUUCAAGAAUAUCAGUAUUCUUAGUAGGGGCAUAAAGCCAACAUUCCCCCUUAUUAUUGCUAUAGAUUUGUUAUAAAAAUACUAACCCACUUACAACUAAACAAAUAUCUCCUUGAGAUACACGAACAAAAUGGUUCAAUAAAAGCGUACUUUGUUACAUAAAACUUAUUAGUUUCGAGCUGUUAGUAGUAACGUGUAGAAGGAAUUUUUGUUACCGUUUAAAAGUGUUCAGUUAAAUAAGCUCUUCAUUGUACUUGAAGCUCUGAGUUUAGGUUACACUUUCUGGGAAAAAUUGCGAAGCAGCUAACAAUAACCUCGAACAAAGUUUUUAAGAAACAGCAAUUUUGUCGUGCAUUUGAAAGUGGUUGCAUCACUUCGUUGUCAAUAUCUCUGCUGGAUGCUGACAGCAAGCACACUGUGAAAAGUCAGCUUUAGCGACACAGUCAUUCAACAAUCAACAACAUACAACGCAUUAAAACUUGCUUGAGUUUCUUAAUAUGGACUCGGCCACGGAGACCAUCAGGAAUAAACUUAGUGUAAAAAAGAAAACACUUGGGGAGUGUUUAAAACGUGCUGAAGAUUUCAUUGAACAAUUCGAUGCUGAGCGGGACGCGUUGUAGUUACCGCUCAGAUUGAAAGAAAUCGAUCGUGUGUGGGCAGCAUUUGAUGAUUUAGAGCGUCAGUAUGAAGAACAUCCAUUCAGAGCCACUUCGAACCAAGACUUUUCAAGAUAAAGGCUUUUCUUCUAUCAAAAAUGGCUGCUCCAAAAGUUACACCAAAAACGAGACCGAUGGAGUCUCUGACUGUCGCAUUUUCUGACCUCAAGUCGCCAACUAUUGCGCUGUCCGCUUUUGACGGUAAUUAUCGUGCGUGGAUUGCAUUCCAUGACUCUUUUUUGGUUCUGGUACAUAAAAAUGCGGAACUAUCGGAUUUACAGAAGUUCCAUCACCUGCGAUCUGCGCUAAAAGAUGAAGCUGCUCAAGUGAUCGAAGCCAUAGGAUUCAGUGCCGAAAAUUACGAGAAACCUGGCAAACUUUGCUUAACCGUUAUUCUAACGAAUAUUUAUUGAAAAAGCGACAUCUUCAAGACUUGCUCGAGAUUCCUCGUAUGAAGACCGAAACAGCUGCUUGUCUGCAAUCAACUGUGAAUGAAUUUCGAAGCCAUAUCAAAGCCCUCGAACAAUUAGGUGAACCAAUAGCUCAAUGGGGUUCAAUGCUGGAGCACAUGCUUUGUACCAAACUACACCAGGACACAGCCAAAGCAUGGGCGAUUCAUGUUGCAUCCAGAAAUGAACAUAGUUACGAAUGUUUAAUAGUAUUUUUGGAAGACCGUUUACGCAUUCUCUGAUAUAUUUCAGUAAAUCUUUAUUGAUCAUCCAUCCAAUUGUGAAAAAUUAAACAUAUUUCCUAUGACAAGUAUGCUUGCAAUUUUUCGAAUCAGCUGAUUGGUGUUGAAUUCGUUAGAAAUAAAUUUUAUUUGUUAUAAACUCCAAAAGCCAAACAUCAGACAUCCUUCAAUAAAUCAAGAAAAUUUAAAACUGAAA